AAAUACUAAAUUUUGAGCACAAACUUGCGCACUAAAGGCUCACAUUUGAGCCCAACUCGCUCAAGCCCGUACCCACUCCCUAUUUUACCUGCGGCGAUGGCACCAUAGAGAGCGCGAGAGGUAGAGGGACAAACGCGGAAAGGGCUGGGCGAUUACUGUCUCUCAAGUGUGAGGGGAAGAGGGGUGGCUGGCGUUCAAAGAUGACACAGAAGGAGCAGAGGAUGAAGAAAGAAGAGAGAGAGGCACCAGCUAUGGCUAUUGGUGGCUGGCCGGCAGCUAAGAUGGAGGAAAAGGGAUAUUGCUUCUAUUCUUUUUCCCCAAAUGACAGAGAUGGGGAUCUGCCGUUUUCCAGCCUCUGUAAUUUAAGUCGCUAGGUCCUUCUUUUUGUAGGAAGUGGAAAUUAAGUUAGGUAAAAUAAGGAGUGGGUACGGGCUUGAGCGAGUUGCACGUUGCUAUUCCUUCUUUCCCUUCUUCCAUCUCUACUAUCUUUGAAUCGUCGGAGUUGCACCGUCGACGUUUAACGAACAGAAAAUAGGCAAUAUUCGUCGAAACUGGUUAGUUUCACCUUAAACCAAGAAAAGAGAGCUGAAAUCUUUUUCUGCCGAAUGAUAUCAGAGUCGAGGUGUUGAAGUCGCUAGAGGUCGUAGUGUGAGGUUUUCGGACAGAUUCGUUGUUCAAUCGAAUUUGUGUGCGAUUUCUCUGGCACUUGUGUUUCAAAAUUGCCGUACAAUUAAACUUCAAAUUCAUUGAGGUCGAUUAAUCAUUUCCUUCUACUUCUUAGUUGCUUAACAUCAUGCUCUUAUUAUUUUCUUAAUCUAUCAUUACUUUGUUUUUGAUGUCUUUUUGUUAUUGCUGUUUAGUUUAAUUUGUUUGGAUGGGUCCUGAUAGUUAAAGUAAGUUUUUGAU
rnacentral:lncRNA from 1 species